rnacentral:rRNA from 1 species
AUUGAACGCUGGCGGCAUGCCUUACACAUGCAAGUCGAACGGCAGCACGGGGGCAACCCUGGUGGCGAGUGGCGAACGGGUGAGUAACACAUCGGAACGUGCCCAGUAGUGGGGGAUAGCUCGGCGAAAGCCGGAUUAAUACCGCAUACGACCUACGGGUGAAAGCGGGGGAUCGCAAGACCUCGCGCUAUUGGAGCGGCCGAUGUCAGAUUAGGUUGUUGGUGGGGUAAAGGCCACCAAGCCGACGAUCUGUAGCUGGUCUGAGAGGACGACCAGCCACACUGGGACUGAGACACGGCCCAGACUCCUACGGGAGGCAGCAGUGGGGAAUUUUGGACAAUGGGCGCAAGCCUGACGCAGCGACGCCGCGUGAGGGAUGACGGCCUCGG